UCUACUGGAGUGGCAAAGCGGGUAUAAUUUUAUGGAGUGCAUGAAUCCUACCAGCCACUUCUAAGCCCUUGAUGGGCCUGCAUUCUCCAGACAAGCUGGUUGUUGUCCUUACCAAUGUGGUCACAAUGUGAUGAGCUUGUUUCCCACUUCACUGGAAAACAAAAUGGGAAUAUUCAGAAGAUAAGUUCCACAGCUCCCAUAGCAUCUUCCUAUCUACCAGGAUUUGGACCUUCUACACCCUGCUCCCAUUAAGGAAUUAGCCUUGCUCUUGUCCAAAACUAGCCUUUGCGUAUGCCUUAGAUCCUAUCCCCCUUGCUUGCUCACAGGCUUUGCUCCAGCAAUUCUCCCUAUUUUUCCCCUAUACCAUCAGCUUCCUCUCUCUACUAGGUCAUUUCCACCAGCACACAACAAUACUGUCUCUCUCAUCUUAGAAAUGGAAACUAACAAAAUUGAGUUCACUUUUCCUUCUGACACUAUCCCUUUUCUACCUCCCCCACUUUACAGCAAAACUCUUUGAAAGCUGCCUGAAUUUCACUGCUUCCAUUUCCUCUCCUCUUCUCACUUAAACCUACUGCUGCCAGAACCGGGACUCCACCACCUCACCAGACCCCUGCUUGUCAAUAUCAUCAAUGACUUCCAUCUUGCUAAAUCCAUUUCUUGUCCCCAUUGAACUUGACCCUCAGUAACACCUUGUCAAAUUAACCACUCCCUUCUCAUGGAAAUGAUUUCUUGUUUUCUAAGACACUACACAUUUCGUUUUCCUUCAACACCCCUGGAUGCUGCUUCCCAGUCUUGUCCCUUAACCUCCUAGCACUGAAGUGAUGCAGGGCUCAGUCCACAGAUCUCUUCAUCUUUCCUGUUCACUCCAUACUCACCCUCUUGGUAAUUCCCUUCCAGUUUCAUCGUUUAAAUGGCAUCUGUCUGCAAAUGAUUAUCAAAUGUAUGCCUCCAGCCAUGGCCACUGCUCUCAACGUUAGCUUAUCCAUCUAACUGUCAACUCUGUAUCUCUACCUGGACGCCUGAUGGAGGUCUCCAAUGUACCAUGCCCUAAACUGAAAUUUUGAUCUUCUUUAUCCACAGAAUCUGCUCGACCCUAUCUCAGUUAAAGGCAUAUGUUACUAAAGCCAAAGUCAGCAAAGAAGGAGCCUCCAUGCUUGGAAACAACCCAGCUAACUGCCAUCUGUGUGGUAGCUUGAGUGUGGAUUGAAGAACGGAGAGUCAGGAUUCUAGGGGAGAGUGGAACCAAUGGCUGGGCUGGAACCUGCAUGCCAGCACCUCCCCCACAUGCUGUUGGUCAAGCCAGAUUCAAGAGAUGGGGAAACAGACUCCGCCUCUGGAUGCCGCAAAGUCCCACGGCAAAGGGCAGGAAUAUAGAGGUGAGGGGGGAUGAUCAUUCAUACCAUGACAAAAUGGCAGAAAAUGUGCAACUCCAAGACCAAGAAAACGUGAAGAGGCUGUGACUACCUCCAUGUGAGAAACAUCUGAGUUCCUCCUGAUCCUAAGACCUCCCCACAAUGUAUGUAUGAUAGCAAUUUCCUCUGACAGAGCAGUGAAUUUGAUGAUAGUGCAUCGAUUGCUGUAAAUUGUCUGCUGGGUUACCUGUUCCUACCACCUUAGAGCACUCACAGCUCAGUGACUGUGGAAGUCAGCUUCCAAGAUGUUCCCCUAUGAUCCUCCCCUCCUUGUAUUCACAUCUGUAAAGAUUCCUCCCACAAUGAAUCACAGUUUCGUUUUGUGACCAACAGAAUACAGCAGAAGUAAGGAAAUGUGACUUCCAAGGCUAAUGAAUAAAAGGCUUUGCAGUUUUCUCCUUGGUCAGUUGGAAGCCACCUGCCAUGGACACUCAAGCAGUUCUGUGGAGAGGCUCAUGAGGGAAAGAACUGAGGCCCCUCCACCAACAUCCAGCACCAACUUGUCAGCUGUGUCUGUGAGCCAUCUAGGAAUGAGACCCUCCUGAAGCCCUGGUGAAGCCUUCAGAUGACCGUAGCCCCAGCCAACAUUUGGCUGCAGUCUCAUGGCAGGCUCCAAGCCAAACCCUACCAGUGAAUUUGCUACCAAAUUCCUGACUCAUGGAAACUGUGUGUGUAAUAAAUGUUUAUUGUAUGAUAAAGCCACUAAAUUUAGGAGUAAUUUCUUACACAGCAAUAGAUAACUAGUAGAGUCACUUUGCAUCUCUUAGGGUCUAUGGCAAAUGACACAUAAUGAAUAGAGAAAUUGGAACAGACAACUGGUUGUCUGUUUCAGUACAGAAACUGGUUGGUAUUAAGAGUGACAAUUUUUAUUAUAGUUCAAGCUAUAGUACUGUAUGUUCUUGAAUAAACUAUGCUAAUCUAGGCCAUCCAAAGACUUCCCAAAAUGUAUGGUGAGAAUAACAUUUCCAAGAUACUAAACCAAUGUUUGUAGCUCCUGAUAAUUCCUAAUUCCUGGUUGCCCCAAGCCACCACCUGCCCCAACUAAAACAAAAGAAUUGAUCACAUCAUAAUAAAAUUAGAACCUUCAAAGAACAGGCACUGAUCUCUUGGAAUUUUUAUUUUAAACUUAAGUUUACAUGACAAUCUGCUUCCACUUACAUGAUAAUCUGAAAGCAUAUGUUGAAAUGGCAUGGUUCUUGGUUGCAGAAAACAGAAAUGAAAUCUACCUAAGCAGAAAUUAAAAUUAUAGGAGGGAUAUUGGGAGCUCAUAACAUCCAGAGGCUGACUAAACAAACAGACUUCAACGUCAAAAGCAGCCCCCACCCUGGAGGCUAGGGAUCUAUGAGAGCAAAUUGAACAUCUGAUCUCUCAGCUCUCACCAAACUCACACCAUGGCAGAACCUUCACGAAGGGAGGAAGAGACUCAGAUGCUGAACACAAGGAGAG
rnacentral:lncRNA from 1 species